CGAGCAAUAACUAUAAAAGUCUGUACUAAUCAGCUCUCAGAAAAUGCUUUCUUCACAACAGAUAAAAUUUUCAAAAUGGUAAACGAAAACAAUGAUAAAAAAUAUUGUCGUUUUAAACAUAUCAUGCUUUAAGUCAUUUAAGUCAUUAUUUUGUCGAAAAUCAAGUUGAGUCAAAAAUUAUUUCUUUUAGGUAUAAUACUUCCUACGUCAAGUUUUAUUGCAAAAACUCACCCUUAAUGUUCUGUGUCAAACUGCAGAACUAGACCUACCUUAUUUUUCCUGAAGUAUGUAGGGUUGGUGUUUACUAUUUUCGUCCCAUGUUGAUUGACGUUCCAUAAUUGUAUUUUUUUUUUAAUAAACGCAUUUAAUUUACUGCAUGUUAUCAUUGUUUUCAAUGAAAAUAAAAUGUUCGUUGUUUAAAUUAAUGGAUAGAUCAUAAUAUAAUGCAAGAAGUCCAAAUUUGUAUUAAAGCAAAAAUGGAAUGAUGAUGACAAAGAAAUUAUGUCUUGGGGGAAAGAAGAAUGUUUGGUAAAUGAACA